UACGUUUGAUUUCGAUUGGACGUAUAGUGGCGAACGGGUGAGGAAUAAAUAGGUAACGUACCCCGGGCACAGGGAUACCAUCGGGAGCUUGCUCCCUUUGCGAAAGUGAUGUUAAUACCUGACGACGUCUUUGGAUGGCAUCAUCUGAAGAUCAAAGGGUGGGGACCUUCGGGCCUGCCGGCCUGGGAGCGGCCUAUUUCCUAUCAGCUUGUUGGUGAGGUAAUGGCUCACCAAGGCAGCGACGGGUAGCCGGACUGAGAGGUUGAACGGCCACAUCGGGACUGAGACACUGCCCGGACACCUACGGGUGGCUGCAGUAACGAAUAUUCCGCAAUGGGCGAAAGCCUGACGGAGCGACGCCUCGUGGAGGACGAAUUCCUUCGGGAUGUAAACUCCUGUAAGAUUUGAGAAAGCAAGGGUGGGUAAUAUCCAUCUGCGUUGAUCUGGAUCCUAGAAGCAUCGGCUAACUCCGUGCCAGCAGCCGCGGUAAUACGGAGGAUGCGAGCGUUGUUCGGAAUCACUGGGCUUAAAGCGCGUGUAGGCGGCCUAGCCAGUACCUUGUGAAAUCCCUUGGCUCAACCGAGGAAUUGCUGGGUAUACUGCUGGGCUUGAGGCGGUUAGGGGUGCCUGGAACUCUAGGUGGAGCGGUGAAAUGCGUAGAUAUCUAGAGGAACGCCUGAGGCGAAAGCGGGGCACUGGGACCGAUCUGACGCUGAGACGCGAAAGCGUAGGGAGCGAA
rnacentral:rRNA from 1 species